rnacentral:lncRNA from 1 species
CUGAAUGACUAAGAAUCUGCAAGUUGACUCAGUCAGAGACCAUGUGGCCUCUAACAGAAAAAUCUUCUGAAGGAAAACAACAUAAAUUUGCAGAUGAAGCAAACAGAUGAAUUCUUUAACUUCAUGACAAGAGCCAGAACUCCCAUUUGUCCCCAGUCAGUCUCUGAACCAAGGCCACUGCAAGAAAAGGAGGAAGGAGAGAGAAUGGAGGAGAGUAUCGUCAUGACAUGUGGAGCAGCAUGCCUGCCCUCCUCCAGCUCCUGUCCGGUUACUGGGAUCCAGAUGAAUGUGACUACCCCCACCUUCCAGGAAAUAACACUCCAGUCAGAAGGGGAAACUGGCUUGGGGAAGAGAGAAGGUUAUUUACUCAUACGUGACUCAGAAGAUCUGGUGAAACUUAAAUGUCACCUAGAAGACACCUCACCUGAAACAAACUUUAAAGAGGAUGGCCCUCUCACUUACUUGAACAAAAUCAAGAGCCAAAGCCGUCCAGGCAUAGAGGUCCACAGCAACAAUCCCAGUGCCAGCUCUCGGGAGCCUGAGGCAGGGCAAUCUUGAGUUUGAGGUCAGUAUGUACUAUGUAACGAGAUAGUGAUAAUAAUGAUGAUAAUAAUGAUAAUGAUGAUGACUAUG